GAUCAAUGAUUCUCUCUCAUUAUUGACACAGAGCAGAUUAGCAUGGCCCCUGUGCAAGGGUGACAUGCAAAUCCAUGAAGUGUUCCAUCUACAA
ensembl:snRNA U6 U6 spliceosomal RNA